rnacentral:rRNA from 1 species
GAUGAACGCUGGCGGCGUGCCUAAUACAUGCAAGUCGAGCGAACAGACGAGGAGCUUGCUCCUCUGACGUUAGCGGCGGACGGGUGAGUAACACGUGGAUAACCUACCUAUAAGACAGGGAUAACUUCGGGAAACCGGAGCUAAUACCGGAUAAUAUAUUGAACCGCAUGGAUCAAUAGUGAAAGAGGGUUUUGCUGUCAAUGAUAGAUGGAUCCGCGCCGCAUUAGCUAGGUGGUAAGGUAACGGCGUACCAAGGCAAGGAUGAGUAGCCGACCUGGGAGGGUGGUCGGCCACACUGGAACGGAGACACGGUCCAGACUCCUACGCGAGGCAGCAGUAGGGAAUCUUCCGCAAUGCGCGAAAUCCUGACGGGGCAACGCCGCGUGAGUGAUGAAGGUCUUCGGAUCGUAAAUCUCUGUUAUUAGGGAAGAACAAAUGUGUAAGUAACGAUGCACGUCUUGACGGUACCUAAUCAGAAAGCCCCGGCUAACUACGUG